CCCAAACAGGAAAAUUGGGAUCACCUGAUUUGAAAGUGUGAUAGCUUCUUCAUCCUAACUCCUAUGAGAUUUAUUCAACUUCCUGUUGAUUCUCCACUACUUUAUGUAUCGGAGAUUUAUUCAACUUCCUUGUGAUUCUCCACUACUUUAUGUAUCAAAAUCAAGCUUUUUACACUGCGAUUCAUCCUGGUUUGAUUAGAAUGACGAAGGAGUUCUCAUAUUCCCAAACAUGAAAACUGGGAUCACCUUAUUAGAAAGUGGGAUAGCUUCUUCAUCCUAACUCCUAUGAGAUUUAUUCAACUUUCUGGUGAUUUUUCACUACUUUAUGUAUCCAAAUAAAGCUUCUUACACCGCGAUUCAUCCUACCUAUGAGAUUUAUUCAACUUCCUGGUGAUUCUCCACUACUUUAUGUAUCGAAGGCAAGAUUCUUACAUCACGAUUCAUCCUGGCUUGAUUAGAAUGACAAAGAAGUUGAAAUAUUUCCAAACAGGAAAACUGUGAUCACUUGAUUUGAAAGUGUGAUAGCUUCUUCAUCAUAACUCCUAUGAGGUUUAUUCAACUUCCUGGUGAUUUUCCACUACUUUUUGUCUCAAAAUCAAGCUUCUUACAUCGCGAUUCAUCCUGGUUUGAUUAGAACGGCGAAGAAGUUUUCAUAUUCCCAAACCGAAAAACUGGGAUCACCUAAUUUGAAAGUGUGACUGCUUCUUCAUCCUAACUCCUAUGAGAUUUAUUCACAUUCCUGGUGAUUCUCCACUACUUUAUGUAUCAAAAUCAAGCUUCUCACACCACGAUAAAUCCUGGUUUGAUUAGAAUGACGAAGAAGUUGUCAUAUUCCCAAACAGGAAAACUGGGAUCACCUUAUUUGAAAGUGGGAUAACUUCUUCAUCCUAACUCAAAUGAGAUUUAUUCAACUUCCUUGUGAUUCUCCACUACUUUAUGUAUCAAAAUCAAGCUUUUUACACUGCGAUUCAUCCUCCACUACUUUAUGUAUCGAAGGCAAGAUUCUUACAUCACGAUUCAUCCUGGCUUGAUUAGAAUGACAAAGAAGUUGAAAUAUUUCCAAACAGGAAAACUGUGAUCACCUGAUUUGAAAGUGUGAUAGCUUCUUCAUCCUAACUCCUAUGAGAUUUAUUCAACUUCCUGGUGAUUCUCCCCUACUUUAUGUAUCAAAAUAAAGCUUCUUACACCGCCAUUCAUCCUGGUUUGAUUAGAAUGGCGAAGAAGUUGUCAUAUUCCAAAACAGGAAAACUGGGAUCACCUGAUUUGAAAGUGGGACUGCUUCUUCAUCCUAACUCCUAUGAGAUUUAUUCAACUUCCUGGUGAUUAUCCACUACUUUAUGUAUCAAAAUCAAGCUUCUUACAUCGCGAUUCAUCCUGGUUUGAUUAGAAUGACAAAGAAGCUGUCAUAUUCCCAAACAGGAAAACUGGGAUCACCUUAUUUGAAAGUGGGAUAGCUUCUUCAUCCUAACUCCUAUGAGAUUUAUUCAACUUCCUGGUGAUUCUCCACUACUUUAUGUAUCAAAAUCAAGCUUCUCACAUCGCGAUUCAUCCUGGUUUGAUUAGAAUGACGAAGAAGUUGUUAUAUUCCCAAACAGGAAAACUGGGAUCACCUUAUUUGAAAGUGGGAUAACUUCUUCAUCCUAACUCCUAUGAGAUUUAUUCAACUUCCUGGUGAUUCUCCACUACUUUAUGUAUCAAAAUCAAGUUUCUUACAUCGUGAUUCAUCCUGGUUUGAUUAGAAUGAUGAAGAAGUUGUCAUAUUCCCAAACAGGAAAACUGGGAUCACUUUAUUUGAAAGUGCGAUAGCUUCUUCAUCCUAACUCCUAUGAGAUUUAUUCAACUUCCUGGUGAUUCUCCACAACUUUAUGUAUCCAAAUCAAGCUUCUUACAUCGCGAUUCAUCCUGGUUUGAUUAGAAUGACAAAGAAGCUGUCAUAUUCCCAAACAGGAAAACUGGGAUCACCUGAUUUGAAAGUGGGAUAGCUUCUUCAUCCUAACUCCUAUGAGAUUUAUUCAGCUUCCUGGUGAUUCUCCACUACUUUAUGUAUCAAAAUCAAGCUUCUUACAUCGCGAUUCAUCCUGGUUUGA
rnacentral:lncRNA from 1 species